GAGGGGAUUUUUGGGGUAUAAAAAAUCGGUAUAAAAACCGAUUAAAAAACGAUUGUAAAAGGGGGGUUUAUUUUCUUUUCCUUUCCUCUUUGUAACGUUUUUCAGAAAUAAGAAACAAAAAAAAUCAAAGGUGAUUUCUUGCUCUUUUUGUUUUCGUUUUUACAUAUUCUAACCCCUUUUUAUUUUUUAUUUUUAUUUUUAUUUUUAUUUUUAUUUUUUUGUUCAUUUAUUUAUAUACGUAUAAUAUAUAUAACAAAAA
rnacentral:lncRNA from 1 species